rnacentral:tRNA from 2 species
GCUAAUAGGGCUGCUAUUGCAGGCUACUUUGAUAUAGUAGAUUGAAAACAGAUUGUUUCGUUAGUA